rnacentral:rRNA from 1 species
CUCACUAGUCGAGUCGGCCUGCGCGGAAGAUGUAACGGGGCUCAAACCACACACCGAAGCUGCGGGUGUCACGUAAGUGACGCGGUAGAGGAGCGUUCUGUAAGCCUGUGAAGGUGAGUUGAGAAGCUUGCUGGAGGUAUCAGAAGUGCGAAUGCUGACAUGAGUAACGACAAUGGGUGUGAAAAACACCCACGCCGAAAGACCAAGGGUUCCUGCGCAACGUUAAUCGACGCAGGGUUAGUCGGUUCCUAAGGCGAGGCUGAAAAGCGUAGUCGAUGGGAAACAGGUUAAUAUUCCUGUACUUCUGGUUACUGCGAUGGAGGGACGGAGAAGGCUAGGCCAGCUUGGCGUUGGUUGUCCAAGUUUAAGGUGGUAGGCUGAAAUCUUAGGUAAAUCCGGGGUUUCAAGGCCGAGAGCUGAUGACGAGUCGUCUUUUAGAUGACGAAGUGGUUGAUGCCAUGCUUCCAAGAAAAGCUUCUAAGCUUCAGGUAACCAGGAACCGUACCCCAAACCGACACAGGUGGUCGGGUAGAGAAUACCAAGGCGCUUGAGAGAACUCGGGUGAAGGAACUAGGCAAAAUGGCACCGUAACUUCGGGAGAAGGUGCGCCGGCUAGGGUGAAGGAUUUACUCCGUAAGCUCUGGCUGGUCGAAGAUACCAGGCCGCUGCGACUGUUUAUUAAAAACACAGCACUCUGCAAACACGAAAGUGGACGUAUAGGGUGUGACGCCUGCCCGGUGCCGGAAGGUUAAUUGAUGGGGUUAGCGCAAGCGAAGCUCUUGAUCGAAGCCCCGGUAAACGGCGGCCGUAACUAUAACGGUCCUAAGGUAGCGAAAUUCCUUGUCGGGUAAGUUCCGACCUGCACGAAUGGCGUAACGAUGGCGGCGCUGUCUCCACCCGAGACUCAGUGAAAUUGAAAUCGCUGUGAAGAUGCAGUGUAUCCGCGGCUAGACGGAAAGACCCCGUGAACCUUUACUGUAGCUUUGCACUGGACUUUGAGCCUGCUUGUGUAGGAUAGGUGGGAGGCUUUGAAGCGUGGACGCCAGUUCGCGUGGAGCCAUCCUUGAAAUACCACCCUGGCAUGCUUGAGGUUCUAACUCUGGUCCGUGAUCCGGAUCGAGGACAGUGUAUGGUGGGCAGUUUGACUGGGGCGGUCUCCUCCUAAAGAGUAACGGAGGAGUACGAAGGUGCGCUCAGACCGGUCGGAAAUCGGUCGCAGAGUAUAAAGGCAAAAGCGCGCUUGACUGCGAGACAGACACGUCGAGCAGGUACGAAAGUAGGUCUUAGUGAUCCGGUGGUUCUGUAUGGAAGGGCCAUCGCUCAACGGAUAAAAGGUACUCCGGGGAUAACAGGCUGAUACCGCCCAAGAGUUCAUAUCGACGGCGGUGUUUGGCACCUCGAUGUCGGCUCAUCACAUCCUGGGGCUGAAGCCGGUCCCAAGGGUAUGGCUGUUCGCCAUUUAAAGUGGUACGCGAGCUGGGUUUAGAACGUCGUGAGACAGUUCGGUCCCUAUCUGCCGUGGACGUUUGAGAUUUGAGAGGGGCUGCUCCUAGUACGAGAGGACCGGAGUGGACGAACCUCUGGUGUUCCGGUUGUCACGCCAGUGGCAUUGCCGGGUAGCUAUGUUCGGAAAAGAUAACCGCUGAAAGCAUCUAAGCGGGAAACUUGCCUCAAGAUGAGAUCUCACUGGGAACUUGAUUCCCCUGAAGGGCCGUCGAAGACUACGACGUUGAUAGGCUGGGUGUGUAAGCGUUGUGAGGCGUUGAGCUAACCAGUACUAAUUGCCCGUGAGGCUUGACCA